CCAGACUCCUACGGGAGGCAGCAGUGGGGAAUAUUGGGCAAUGGGCGCAAGCCUGACCCAGCGACGCCGCGUGAGGGAAGACGGUCUUCGGAUUGUAAACCUCUUUCAGCAGGGAAGACAAAAGGACGGUACCUGCAGAAGAAGCCACGGCUAACUACGUGCCAGCAGCCGCGGUAAUACGUAGGUGACAAGCGUUAUCCGGAUUUACUGGGUGUAAAGGGCGUGUAGGCGGGAUGGUAAGUCAGAUGUGAAAACUAUGGGCUCAACCCAUAGCCUGCAUUUGAAACUAUCGUUCUUGAGUGUUGGAGAGGCAGGCGGAAUUCCGUGUGUAGCGGUGAAAUGCGUAGAUAUACGGAGGAACACCAGUGGCGAAGGCGGCCUGCUGGACAAUAACUGACGCUGAGGCGCGAAAGCGUGGGGAGCAAACAGGAUUAGAUACCCGGGUAC
rnacentral:rRNA from 1 species